CCUACGGGAGGCAGCAGUGAGGAAUAUUGGUCAAUGGGCGCGAGUCUGAACCAGCCAAGUCGCGUGAGGGAAGACGGUCCUAUGGAUUGUAAACCUCUUUUGUCGGGGAGCAAAAGACGCCACGCGUGGCGUUCCGAGAGUACCAGAAGAAAAAGCAUCGGCUAACUCCGUGCCAGCAGCCGCGGUAAUACGGGGGAUGCGAGCGUUAUCCGGAUUUAUUGGGUUUAAAGGGUGCGCAGGCGGAAGAUCAAGUCAGCGGUAAAAUUGAGAGGCUCAACCUCUUCGAGCCGUUGAAACUGGUUUUCUUGAGUGAGUGAGAAGUAUGCGGAAUGCGUGGUGUAGCGGUGAAAUGCAUAGAUAUCACGCAGAACUCCGAUUGCGAAGGCAGCAUACCGGCGCUCAACUGACGCUCAUGCACGAAAGUGUGGGUAUCGAACAGGAUUAGAUACCCCUGUAGUC
rnacentral:rRNA from 1 species